CAUUAACAAGUGAUCUCUUGUUUCCGGAUGGAUUUGGCAUAAGGUUCAUUGUUGAUCAAUACUCAUUCCCCAGCUGUGUAGCCUAUCCUUUGUUGGGAGUAUGUCCUGUAGGAAUAGCCAUAGGUUGAAAACUGCUUUUGGCCUUGCUUGGUUUUGUAUGAUUAAAUUCUUCCAUGAAUCUCUCGGCACUUCUUGCAUCUGUGACCGGUACAAUUGCCUAGUCGAGCAUUUCUGAUACUUCCAGUUCUGAAGCCUUUGUAGAGUAUUUCUUGAUUGGAUGAUCUUCUUAACCAUCCAGCUAGCUUGGGCAGGAAUUGGUAUGGACUCUAUUGGUCCGUCUUUGAUAUAAUACACUGUGAUCCACCUUAUCCAUAACUUGUCCUUUUUAUGGGCUAGGUCCCAGCAGGUCUUUGCAAUAGCAGUCUUGUUCCAGAGCUUGAGGUUGGUUAGAUUCAUUCCACCAACUGAUUUUGGGGUACACAUUUUUUCCCAGGAUAUGUAUGCUUUCUUAGUUACAUAAUUCAUCCCAGACCUUGUCCUUUUUAUGGGCUAGAUCCCAGCAUGUCUUUGCAAUAGCAGCCUUGUUCCAGAGCUUGAGAUUGGUUAGAUUCAUUCCACCAACUGAUUUUGGGGUACACAUUUUGUCCCAAGAUAUGUAUGCUUUCUUAGUUACAGUGUUCAUCCCAGACCAAAUGAAACUCCUGCAAAUGCCUUCACUAUUGACUUUGGAGUGCACAUUCUAUCCUAGGAGAUGUAUGCUUUCUUGGUGACAGUAUUCUUACCAGACCAAAUGAAGCUCCUGCAGAUACUUUCAAUCAUUUUGAGGACUUUCACUGGGAAGAUGAACAACUGAGCCCAGUAGGCUUGAAUACCAAAGAUGACAGAUUGCACCAGUUGUAAUCUUUCAGAGUAGAACAGUAUUCUGGCAGUCCAAGAAGUGAUCUUGGCUGUGAUUCUUUCCACUAAAGGUUGCCACUACAGUAGUGUGAUUUUUUUGAUGGUCAGUGGCACUCCCAGAUAUUUGAAAGGCAGUUGGCCUUGCUCAUAACCAAGG
rnacentral:lncRNA from 1 species